rnacentral:rRNA from 1 species
UACGGAGGGGGCAAGCGUUGUCCGGAUUUACUGGGCGUAAAGGGCGCGUAGGCGGUCAGCACAAGUCAGUUGUGAAAUCUCCGGGCUUAACUCGGAAAGGUCAACUGAUACUGUGCGACUAGAGUGCGGAAGGGGCAACUGGAAUUCUCGGUGUAGCGGUGAAAUGCGUAGAUAUCGAGAGGAACACCUGCGGCGAAGGCGGGUUGCUGGGCCGACACUGACGCUGAUGCGCGAAAGCCAGGGGAGCGAACGGG